rnacentral:rRNA from 1 species
AUUGAACGCUGGCGGCAGGCCUAACACAUGCAAGUCGAACGAGGGGCGGAGGGGUGAGUAAUGUCUGGGAAACGGCCUGAUGGUGGGGGAUAACUACUGGAAAGGGUAGCUAAUACCGCAUACUCUCAGAUGUGCCCAGAUGGGAUUAGCUGGUUGGUGGGGUGACGGCUGACCAAGGCGACGAUCCCUAGCUGGUCGGAGGGGGUGAUCAGCAAAACUGGAACUGGGACACGGUGCUGCAGCCUACGGGAGGCAGCUGUGUGGAAGAUUGAAAAAUGGGCGCAAGCCUGAUGGAGCGAUGCCGCGUGUAUGAAUGGGGCCUGCGGGUUGUAAGGUACUUUCAGCGUGGAGGCGGUACCCGCAGAAGAAGCACCGGCUAACUACGUGCCAGCAGCCGCGGUAAUAC